AUCGCUUCUCGGCCUUUUGGCUAAGAUCAAAGUGUAGUAUCUGUUCUUAUCAGCUUAAUCUCUGAUACGACGCUCAUUGAGUGUCUCAGUAGAUUAAACCGAUUUUGGGAACAGGAUGGGGUCGUGAAGCUUGCUUCCGCCUGUCCGCGGGUUGGCCCGGUAUUGCAGUACCGCCGGGAUCGCCCAAUAAAU
rnacentral:snRNA from 1 species